rnacentral:lncRNA from 1 species
CUGAUGACCUAGUCAGUUCCCAUGUGAGAGCCCCAGCAGAGACUGUAGAACCUUUCUCCUCUGUAUCCAACAUUAUCUGCGUGUAUUUCUCUGUCCACGACUGGAGGAAUCAGUCACGACUCUCCAUGGUCACCAGCACGUGACCUUGAAAAACAGUGGGGAUGGGAGGGGGUCAAGUGCAAUGAGUGGGUGAUCCUGAGUACCACUUGGCGGAAAAUAUGUUCCAAACUUUUAUCAAGGCUACUGACAAAGUACCUGAUUGUCCUCUUUGAUUUUAAUUUCCUUUUUCUGCCUCUUCCUAAGCCUCCAGGGAAUGAACAAAUAACAAAGGAAAUGGCUGACAAAGGGAAAAUUAUGAUGUGAGAAUUUCACUAAAGAAUUUAGCCCACUUUACUCUGUUCGCAAAGGCCCUGGAAUUGGCCCCGAACUGGGGUUUAGGGAAUCUAUCAUUUGUUCCCACGGUGUCCUUAUUAGCCAGGCAACCUGGGCAGAGUUUAAACCUCAAGGAUCUUCCUGUUCUCAUCUGUCAAAUUGGGCUAAUGAUGUCAAUCCACCCCACGAGUCUUUCUACUGUCGGUGUCCCAGUGCUGCGAUUCAAACCUGACCUUCGGAGAUGGAUUGACAGAACGUGUGGAGGCAGAGAAUGCAGGCACGAUGUCUCCAGGGCAACUCCUGGAGUCGCAACGGCCUGGCCGUGGCUCACUGCAGUGCCUUGGGAACAGACACAAUACACUCCAAGUCCAAGGCUGGUUCCUGCACUUCCACUGGAGAACUGGCCAAGAAGCAAGGCAAAUAACGGACUUGGAGAGUUCUAGAUAAAU